rnacentral:rRNA from 1 species
AGAGUUUGAUCAUGGCUCAGAUUGAACGCUGGCGGCAGGCCUAACACAUGCAAGUCGAGCGGUAGCACAGAGAGCUUGCUCUCGGGUGACGAGCGGCGGACGGGUGAGUAAUGUCUGGGAAACUGCCUGAUGGAGGGGGAUAACUACUGGAAACGGUAGCUAAUACCGCAUAACGUCGCAAGACCAAAGUGGGGGACCUUCGGGCCUCAUGCCAUCAGAUGUGCCCAGAUGGGAUUAGCUAGUAGGUGGGGUAAUGGCUCACCUAGGCGACGAUCCCUAGCUGGUCUGAGAGGAUGACCAGCCACACUGGAACUGAGACACGGUCCAGACUCCUACGGGAGGCAGCAGUGGGGAAUAUUGCACAAUGGGCGCAAGCCUGAUGCAGCCAUGCCGCGUGUGUGAAGAAGGCCUUCGGGUUGUAAAGCACUUUCAGCGGGGAGGAAGGCGAUAAGGUUAAUAACCUUGUCGAUUGACGUUACCCGCAGAAGAAGCACCGGCUAACUCCGUGCCAGCAGCCGCGGUAAUACGGAGGGUGCAAGCGUUAAUCGGAAUUACUGGGCGUAAAGCGCACGCAGGCGGUCUGUCAAGUCGGAUGUGAAAUCCCCGGGCUCAACCUGGGAACUGCAUUCGAAACUGGCAGGCUAGAGUCUUGUAGAGGGGGGUAGAAUUCCAGGUGUAGCGGUGAAAUGCGUAGAGAUCUGGAGGAAUACCGGUGGCGAAGGCGGCCCCCUGGACAAAGACUGACGCUCAGGUGCGAAAGCGUGGGGAGCAAACAGGAUUAGAUACCCUGGUAGUCCACGCCGUAAACGAUGUCGAUUUGGAGGUUGUGCCCUUGAGGCGUGGCUUCCGGAGCUAACGCGUUAAAUCGACCGCCUGGGGAGUACGGCCGCAAGGUUAAAACUCAAAUGAAUUGACGGGGGCCCGCACAAGCGGUGGAGCAUGUGGUUUAAUUCGAUGCAACGCGAAGAACCUUACCUGGUCUUGACAUCCACAGAACUUAGCAGAGAUGCUUUGGUGCCUUCGGGAACUGUGAGACAGGUGCUGCAUGGCUGUCGUCAGCUCGUGUUGUGAAAUGUUGGGUUAAGUCCCGCAACGAGCGCAACCCUUAUCCUUUGUUGCCAGCGGUCCGGCCGGGAACUCAAAGGAGACUGCCAGUGAUAAACUGGAGGAAGGUGGGGAUGACGUCAAGUCAUCAUGGCCCUUACGACCAGGGCUACACACGUGCUACAAUGGCAUAUACAAAGAGAAGCGACCUCGCGAGAGCAAGCGGACCUCAUAAAGUAUGUCGUAGUCCGGAUUGGAGUCUGCAACUCGACUCCAUGAAGUCGGAAUCGCUAGUAAUCGUAGAUCAGAAUGCUACGGUGAAUACGUUCCCGGGCCUUGUACACACCGCCCGUCACACCAUGGGAGUGGGUUGCAAAAGAAGUAGGUAGCUUAACCUUCGGGAGGGCGCUUACCACUUUGUGAUUCAUGACUGGGGUGAAGUCGUAACAAGGUAACCGUAGGGGAACCUGCGGUUG